rnacentral:rRNA from 1 species
AAACCAACAGGGAUUGCCUUAGUAACGGCGAGUGAAGCGGCAAAAGCUCAAAUUUGAAAUCUAGUACUUUUCAGUGCUCGAGUUGUAAUUUGAAGAUGGUAAUCCUAGCGCUGGCCCUUGUCUAUGUUCCUUGGAACAGGACGUCAUAGAGGGUGAGAAUCCCGUCUGAUGGGGUGUCCAGUGCAUUGCAGGAUGCUAUCGAAGAGUCGAGUUGUUUGGGAAUGCAGCUCUAAGUGGGUGGUAAAUUCCAUCUAAAGCUAAAUAUUGGCGAGAGACCGAUAGCGAACAAGUACAGUGAUGGAAAGAUGAAAAGAACUUUGAAAAGAGAGUGAAAAAGUACGUGAAAUUGUUGAAAGGGAAGGGUAUUAGAUCAGACUUGGUGUUUUAUGAUUAUCUUCCCUUCUUGGGUUGUGCACUCGUAUUUCACUGGGCCAGCAUCGAUUCGGACGGUAAGAUAAUGACUUUGGAACGUGGCACCAUUCGUGGUGUGUUAUAGCCUUUGUUGAUAUUGCCUGUCUGGAUCGAGGACUGCGGCUUUUGCCUAGGAUGCUGGCGUAAUGAUCUAAUAUCGC